rnacentral:rRNA from 1 species
AACGAACGCUGGCGGCAGGCCUAACACAUGCAAGUCGAGCGAGCAUUUCGGUGCUAGCGGCGGACGGGUGAGUAACGCGUGGGAACGUGCCCUUUUCUGCGGAAUAGUCCUGGGAAACUGGGGGUAAUACCGCAUACGCCCUUGUGGGGAAAGAUUUAUCGGAGAAGGAUCGGCCCGCGUUGGAUUAGGUAGUUGGUGGGGUAAUGGCCCACCAAGCCGACGAUCCAUAGCUGGUUUGAGAGGAUGAUCAGCCACACUGGGACUGAGACACGGCCCAGACUCCUACGGGAGGCAGCAGUGGGGAAUCUUAGACAAUGGGGGCAACCCUGAUCUAGCCAUGCCGCGUGAGUGAUGAAGGCCUUAGGGUUGUAAAGCUCUUUCAGCUGGGAAGAUAAUGACGGUACCAGCAGAAGAAGCCCCGGCUAACUCCGUG